UUAAGCGACUAAGCGUACACGGUGGAUGCCCUGGCAGUCAGAGGCGAUGAAGGACGUGCUAAUCUGCGAUAAGCGUCGGUAAGGUGAUAUGAACCGUUAUAACCGGCGAUUUCCGAAUGGGGAAACCCAGUGCAAUUCGUUGCACUAUCAUUACCUGAAUACAUAGGGUAAUGAAGCGAACCGGGAGAACUGAAACAUCUAAGUACCCCGAGGAAAAGAAAUCAACCGAGAUUCCCCCAGUAGCGGCGAGCGAACGGGGAGCAGCCCAGAGCCUGAAUCAGUGUGUGUGUUAGUGGAAGCGUCUGGAAAGGCGCGCGAUACAGGGUGACAGCCCCGUACACAAAAAUGCACAUACUGUGAGCUCGAUGAGUAGGGCGGGACACGUGGUAUCCUGUCUGAAUAUGGGGGGACCAUCCUCCAAGGCUAAAUACUCCUGACUGACCGAUAGUGAACCAGUACCGUGAGGGAAAGGCGAAAAGAACCCCGGCGAGGGGAGUGAAAAAGAACCUGAAACCGUGUACGUACAAGCAGUGGGAGCCUCUUAAUGGGGUGACUGCGUACCUUUUGUAUAAUGGGUCAGCGACUUAUAUUCUGUAGCAAGGUUAACCGAAUAGGGGAGCCGAAGGGAAACCGAGUCUUAACUGGGCGUUAAGUUGCAGGGUAUAGACCCGAAACCCGGUGAUCUAGCCAUGGGCAGGUUGAAGGUUGGGUAACACUAACUGGAGGACCGAACCGACUAAUGUUGAAAAAUUAGCGGAUGACUUGUGGCUGGGGGUGAAAGGCCAAUCAAACCGGGAGAUAGCUGGUUCUCCCCGAAAGCUAUUUAGGUAGCGCCUCGUGAAUUCAUCUCCGGGGGUAGAGCACUGUUUCGGCAAGGGGGUCAUCCCGACUUACCAACCCGAUGCAAACUGCGAAUACCGGAGAAUGUUAUCACGGGAGACACACGGCGGGUGCUAACGUCCGUCGUGAAGAGGGAAACAACCCAGACCGCCAGCUAAGGUCCCAAAGUCAUGGUUAAGUGGGAAACGAUGUGGGAAGGCCCAGACAGCCAGGAUGUUGGCUUAGAAGCAGCCAUCAUUUAAAGAAAGCGUAAUAGCUCACUGGUCGAGUCGGCCUGCGCGGAAGAUGUAACGGGGCUAAACCAUGCACCGAAGCUGCGGCAGCGACACUAUGUGUUGUUGGGUAGGGGAGCGUUCUGUAAGCCUGUGAAGGUGUGCUGUGAGGCAUGCUGGAGGUAUCAGAAGUGCGAAUGCUGACAUAAGUAACGAUAAAGCGGGUGAAAAGCCCGCUCGCCGGAAGACCAAGGGUUCCUGUCCAACGUUAAUCGGGGCAGGGUGAGUCGACCCCUAAGGCGAGGCCGAAAGGCGUAGUCGAUGGGAAACAGGUUAAUAUUCCUGUACUUGGUGUUACUGCGAAGGGGGGACGGAGAAGGCUAUGUUGGCCGGGCGACGGUUGUCCCGGUUUAAGCGUGUAGGCUGGUUUUCCAGGCAAAUCCGGAAAAUCAAGGCUGAGGCGUGAUGACGAGGCACUACGGUGCUGAAGCAACAAAUGCCCUGCUUCCAGGAAAAGCCUCUAAGCAUCAGGUAACAUCAAAUCGUACCCCAAACCGACACAGGUGGUCAGGUAGAGAAUACCAAGGCGCUUGAGAGAACUCGGGUGAAGGAACUAGGCAAAAUGGUGCCGUAACUUCGGGAGAAGGCACGCUGAUAUGUAGGUGAAGUCCCUUGCGGAUGGAGCUGAAAUCAGUCGAAGAUACCAGCUGGCUGCAACUGUUUAUUAAAAACACAGCACUGUGCAAACACGAAAGUGGACGUAUACGGUGUGACGCCUGCCCGGUGCCGGAAGGUUAAUUGAUGGGGUCAGCGCAAGCGAAGCUCUUGAUCGAAGCCCCGGUAAACGGCGGCCGUAACUAUAACGGUCCUAAGGUAGCGAAAUUCCUUGUCGGGU
rnacentral:rRNA from 1 species